UGCGUAGGCGGCUCUUUAAGUCAGUGGUGAAAUCUUGCCGCUUAACGGUAAAGUUGCCAUUGAUACUGAAGAGCUUGAGUACAGUUGAGGUAAGCGGAAUGUGUAGUGUAGCGGUGAAAUGCUUAGAUAUUACACAGAACACCAAUUGCGAAGGCAGCUUACUAAACUGUUACUGACGCUGAUGCACGAAAGCGUGGGGAGCGAACAGGAUUAGAUACCCUGGUAGUCCACGCCGUAAACGAUGCUCACUCGCUGUUUGCGAUACACAGCAAGCGGCCAAGCGAAAGCAUUAAGUGAGCCACCUGGGGAGUACGAUCGCAAGGCUGAA
rnacentral:rRNA from 1 species